rnacentral:rRNA from 1 species
UACGAAGGGGGCUAGCGUUGCUCGGAAUCACUGGGCGUAAAGCGCACGUAGGCGGCUUCUUAAGUCAGGGGUGAAAUCCUGGAGCUCAACUCCAGAACUGCCUUUGAUACUGAGAAGCUUGAGUCCGGGAGAGGUGAGUAGAACUGCGAGUGUAGAGGUGAAAUUCGUAGAUAUUCGCAAGAACACCAGUGGCGAAGGCGGCUCACUGGCCCGGUACUGACGCUGAGGUGCGAAAGCGUGGGGAGCAAACAGG